ACCACGCACCUGUCUUUAAAUUUGUGUCGCGCUGCACCAGGCGUCAUCUGACAAGUUUCAGAAAAUCUUAAACUGCAAUUUAAGAGGUAAUAAAUCGGAAUUAAAUCCACAACUGCGAAAAGAAGACAACACAAAGAGGUGACACAAGGGGAGGCUUGGAAAGCGCCGUUUACCAUCCAUCUUGUUCGUCUCUGCGCUGAGUUUGCCUGCUUAUCGUGAGGGUGAGGAGCUCCCCUGAUGGGCUGCUGUGGCAGAAAGGCCAGCUUUGAUCGAAGGCCCAAAAAGAAGAAGAAGCGGCCCGAGGAGGAGGAGGAGGAGGAGGAGGAGGAGGCGGGGAGGAUCUAACCCGGAGAGCAAAGAGUGGUCACGGCGGAAACUACAAGGAAGCUCACUCCCUAAAUUACAACCGUCGUGUGUCGACUAUAUCAGCGGCGACGGCGGCGGCAGUGGGUCAACCCCCUGCCUGAACGAAUAGAAGCGGAAUUGUCGGCGUCGUGACCGCCAGCCAACUUUCUGUUCACACAGCGGCAGCCCAGGGGCCGGGCGGACAAAACCGCAGGAUGCGGAUCAGCACUGCGAUAGCGGAAUUAUUCCACUCAACUCUCAGCAGUAGUCGACCGGCACUUGAGCUGAGAGGAAGUGCAGACUGGCUCUGGCAGCUCAGGUUGCCGCUGCACCGUGUCAGGCAAUCAGACGCAAACCGCCACCCAAAUAAAGUGAAUGUGAAUUUUUAGGGAUUAAAUUGACACUCGGGUCAAAGCGGGUUUUUGCGUUCAUUCUAAAACAUUGCUUAUGCGAAACGGCUUACAGCUAAGCACACAGAUACAAAAGAGACAUGACCUGGUUUUACAUUUUUCAACAAUUCAGAUGAUGAGCAAAAAUGACUGUAGCGGUGCAGACAGAGGUAAAACGAUGACGAUUUGGCUAAGGAGCAAAAACGCCGGACUAAUGUUGAUGGUGCCGGGAAUCUCGGCUCGGCUAUUUGGCCCGUACUGGCGGGAUGUUGUUUACUGACCUCCAACUGCUUGGAUCCGCGAACUGGCAGUUGUAGAUUGCUUUAAAAAAGCCUCGCUGAGCUGUCAUUACGGAUAUUCACUGAUUUUAAUGCUUAGUCCCGUCGAAGCCAAAACUCUUGUCCCGCAACACACAUUGCUGACAGUUGAUCAGAUAUCUUGUACCGCUACUGUCGGAGUUGUGAUUGGAUGAAUUGGCAUCUCUUUUUCUGCGAGUGCUUUUGUCACCUCUGAUAAAAAUCAAAAUCUCCCCCA